ensembl:lncRNA
GGCAGUGGGUCUGUGAGAAGCUGAGCUGACUCUGCAUCGCUAAUCCCACAUCCCUUAAUGCGAUUGAGGGUGAGCUUAGAUGCUUGACGGCUUUUAAUUGAUCAAUAAACUUUGGGAACUAUCUCCAGCUUUCGUUUCAACAGGGCAACAGGCACCCAAUGCCCAGGAGUUGGACCCAUCAAAGCCCUCCAGCGCUCCGUAUAAACCAACACUCUGAACUCGCUGGUCCGACCGUCAAGUCAACCAAGGAAAGAAACACGUCACCAGUGGAUGCUCCAAUGAGUUGAUAGCAUUUUAUUAAAGACUAAUCACCAUCAAAUAGUUUUAUGUGCAUCAGUUUCAUUAGAGAGUGAAUACACAGCUGGAAGCUUUUCCUCUCUAUCAGUAGAGAUACAAUCAGCAGUACGCAAUUUGUUUGGUGAUAUGGUGAGUAUCAAUAAUCUCGUUAUCUUAACCGACAGCUUGUGAAAGUGAGCCAAUGCUGAAGCCAGUAGAAUAGUGUUAUCACUAUUCACAUGGACAAUGCAGGCUGCUGUUUCUUCACCUAUACCACACCUUUGGUGCAAACAUAUUCCAUCGUUGAAACUGUUUUAAAAGCUCUGUUUUGUGGGAUUCUGUCAAAUACUAAACAUGGAAAUGACUGUGUCAACUUAGAUAUGAUACACUUAAUAUUGAUGUGGUACUAUACUUUCUUCUUUACGUGGCAAAAAGUUAUGGAAGAAUGUUUGAAAGAAAAUAAUAAUCAAGUGAUUAGCCCUCUUUGCUUUCCAUUUUUAUUAUUUCAUCACCUGUGCACUGUAGCAUAUUUCUUCUUUUAUUUUGAACACAAGAAUUUUCUUGUAGAUUGGACACAAGCAUUCAACUACACUUCACGUGUGAACAGUGGUGUAAGACAAGUUCUGAACUACAACUGCUGUAACACCAGACUAGGUUCCACUUGCGUUUGUGGGCAUUCAUGCCAUGUUUGCUGAUGUAUUUUUAGCCACUCAACUGUCUGCACUUGUGUGAUAUAACACCAUGAAUACUACGAUGUGUGUGUGUGUGUGUGUUGGCCAGAGAGUGUGUGUAUGGGAGUGUUUGUAACAGCACAAAGUCAUAAACGAACUAAGCCAAAACUUACCUACAGGGUUCUAUGAAACACCAGUCAGUAUUGUAGAUUACCUGUGUCUAAGAAGCUGAGAAAGCACAGCAC